UGGGGAAUAUUGCACAAUGGGCGCAAGCCUGAUGCAGCCAUGCCGCGUGUGUGAAGAAGGCCUUCGGGUUGUAAAGCACUUUCAGCGAGGAGGAAGGUGGUGAACUUAAUACGUUCAUCAAUUGACGUUACUCGCAGAAGAAGCACCGGCUAACUCCGUGCCAGCAGCCGCGGUAAUACGGAGGGUGCAAGCGUUAAUCGGAAUUACUGGGCGUAAAGCGCACGCAGGCGGUUUGUUAAGUCAGAUGUGAAAUCCCCGGGCUCAACCUGGGAACUGCAUUUGAAACUGGCAAGCUAGAGUCUCGUAGAGGGGGGUAGAAUUCCAGGUGUAGCGGUGAAAUGCGUAGAGAUCUGGAGGAAUACCGGUGGCGAAAGGCGGCCCCCCUGGACGAAGACUGACGCUCAGGUGCGAAAGCGUGGGGAGCAAAACAGGAUUAGAUACCCUGGUAGUCCACGCUGUAAAACGAUGUCGAUUUUGGAGGUUGUGCCCUUGAGGCGUGGNUUCCGGAGCUAACGCGUUAAAUCGACCG
rnacentral:rRNA from 1 species